GGGAAGGUGAGAUGUCAUGGGAGGAGCUCUAUAGACUCUUCAGUGUGGGUCACCAUGACCAGGCGGCCCAAGCCCUCAGGGCCCUUCUCAUGUAGAGAGCUGGCUGCAGUUCCCUGGAGACAGGACCCUGCAUUUGAUGGUGGAAUGUCCCUGCCAGGCCCACAAUCUUUUCAGGUCGGUUUUCACAUCUGUGAAGUGGGAACAGCAUUGGUCCCAGACUCCUUUCUGCCUCCCAGGGAUGAUUUGAGAGAGAAUGAGGUCAUGUCUGGCAGAGCUCUGAGAGCCUCAGAGGCAGCCUAAGAUAAACACCAGACCGCCUGGAAGAGCAGACUGCAAGAAACCACGGCUCCACUCCCCCAUUAUCACUGGGAAAAGCACUCCUCCCCUGUUAAGUGGACCUAAUCACCCCUGUGGUGAGGAGCACACAGGCAACAGGAAAGCCCCUUGUAAACUGAGAAGGGCUGCGCAGGCAGAGGGCCCUCCAGGCGCUGUACCCAGCCCUUCUGGAAGUGUGGAGGGGGACAGCAGAAAGUAGGCUUUCUCAAGGCAUUGGAUGGAAGACAGCACACACCAGACUAAGACAGCAGAGGCCCUAAGACUGACAGGAAAAGCUAAGGGAGGAAGGGGUCUGAGGGAGAAGCCACCAGAGCCAGAAACAAAGAAAGUUCUGAGUUAAAGUUGCCCUGUAUCCUCCACUCCCAGAGAGCCACUGGUUGAUCAGGGGGUGGGGGGUGGGGGAGGGCUUCCCAGCAUGGUGGACAAGCAUGGCCAAACUGGUAGACUGCAUAGUACAGGACUCCCAGCAUCCACAGGAGCAAAGCCUGAGGCAGCCAGUUCAGAGCACGUGGACACACAUGCGCAUGUGAGCACAUGUGCAGGAAGGCAGUGUAGGCCACCUUGGA